rnacentral:rRNA from 1 species
UACAGAGGGUGCAAACGUUGCUCGGAAUUAUUGGGCGUAAAGCGCACGUAGGCGGCGCGUUAAGUCAGAUGUGAAAGCCCCCGGCUCAACUGGGGAGGGUCACGCGAUACUGAUCGACUCGAAGGCAGGAGAGGGUAGUGGAAUUCCCGGUGUAGUGGUGAAAUGCGUAGAUAUCAAGUGGAACACCAGUGGCGAAGGCGAGUCCCUGGACAUUUCCUGACACUGAGGCACGAAAGCUAGGGGAGCAAACAGG